AGUGAACGCUGGCGGUAGGCCUAACACAUGCAAGUCGAACGGCAGCACAGUAAGAGCUUGCUCUUACAGGUGGCGAGUGGCGGACGGGUGAGGAAUACAUCGGAAUCUACUUUUUCGUGGGGGAUAACGUAGGGAAACUUACGCUAAUACCGCAUACGACCUACGGGUGAAAGCAGGGGAUCUUCGGACCUUGCGCGAUUGAAUGAGCCGAUGUCGGAUUAGCUAGUUGGCGGGGUAAAGGCCCACCAAGGCGACGAUCCGUAGCUGGUCUGAGAGGAUGAUCAGCCACACUGGAACUGAGACACGGUCCAGACUCCUACGGGAGGCAGCAGUGGGGAAUAUUGGACAAUGGGCGCAAGCCUGAUCCAGCCAUACCGCGUGGGUGAAGAAGGCGUUCGGGUUGUAAAGCCCUUUUGUUGGGAAAGAAAAGCAGCAGGUUAAUACCCCGCUGUUCUGACGGUACCCAAAGAAUAAGCACCGGCUAACUUCGUG
rnacentral:rRNA from 1 species